UACCAGCACCCCCGAGUGGUCGGGACGUUUUAUUGGGCCUAAAGCAUCCGUAGCCGGGUUCUACAAGUCUUCCGUUAAAUCCACCUGCUUAACCAGAUGGGCUGCGGAAGAUACUAUAGAGCUAGGAGGCGGGAGAGGCAAGCGGUACUCGAUGGGUAGGGGUAAAAUCCGUUGAUCCAUUGAAGACCACCAGUGGCGAAGGCGGCUUGCCAGAACGCGCUCGACGGUGAGGGAUGAAAGCUGGGGGGAGCAAAACCGGGAU
rnacentral:rRNA from 1 species